rnacentral:tRNA from 1 species
GCGGGAAUGGCGGAAUUGGCAGACGCGCAUGAUUCAGGUUCAUGUGCUCGUACGAGCUUGCAGGUUCAAGUCCUGUUUCCCGCACGA